AGUGCCGCUCACGCCCGG
rnacentral:snRNA from 1 species